rnacentral:rRNA from 1 species
UCCUACGGGAGGCAGCAGUGGGGAAUUUUGGACAAUGGGGGCAACCCUGAUCCAGCAAUGCCGCGUGAGUGAAGAAGGCCUUCGGGUUGUAAAGCUCUUUUGUCCGGAAAGAAAUCGCUGCGACGAAUACUCGCAGUGGAUGACGGUACUGGAAGAAUAAGCACCGGCUAACUACGUGCCAGCAGCCGCGGUAAU